rnacentral:rRNA from 1 species
UACAGAGGUCUCAAGCGUUGUUCGGAUUCAUUGGGCGUAAAGGGUGCGUAGGCGGCGCGGUAAGUCGGGUGUGAAAUCUCGGAGCUUAACUCCGAAACUGCAUUCGAUACUGCCGUGCUUGAGGACUGGAGAGGAGACUGGAAUUUAUGGUGUAGCGGUGAAAUGCGUAGAUAUCGUAAGGAAGACCAGUGGCGAAGGCGGGUCUCUGGACAGUUCCUGACGCUGAGGCACGAAGGUCAGGGGAGCAAACGGG